GCUCAGGUGGCCUAGUGGUUAAAGCGUCCGCCUUGGUUGCGAGAGGUUACGAGUUCGGUUCCCGGCUCAAUCA